rnacentral:tRNA from 1 species
GCCCGGGUGGUGCAAUUGGUUAGACACGCAAGAUUGAGGAUCUUGGCCCUUUUAGGGCAUGUGGGUUCGAGCCCCACCCCGGGCACCA